ensembl:lncRNA
GGCUUAUUUAUGAGCGCCCCUGCCCUUCUAAUGAAUAUAACUGUUGAUAAAUGCCUGUGCCCUGUGCCACUUCACAUCCACAGCAGAGGAGAACGUACGGUCCCACGCCGAAGUCCCGUGUAAAGAUGGGAAGAUAAAAAAACAACAAGUGUCACAACAUAACGAGAGCAGGGGACGUGACGACGGCGGCACCCUCCACUCUCAUCAAACCGUCGCUGAGGACCUCCACCAGCCCGGAGCCACCUCCGAAUCAGUCAGGCUAAGGGUUCAAUCAGAGGGACUUGUUCGAUGAUUUAUCAGCGACUCUGAGCGAUGGCGGAGAGCAAGGAGGAGAGGAUGAGGAGAAACAAAGAGAGUGGGGAGAAAGAAGAGACGAGACAGUAGGAAAAGACAAUGGAGAGGUGAGAGGAGAGAAGAGGCCACGUGGGAAGCUUAUCCACGCUCGUCCCGAAUCCCCAAAAGUUUGCCGUCUCCCCCCUAUCCUGCCCAUCUAAAUGGAAAUGGCCCGAUUGUGCUUGCAGCAACGCUUGCAAAUCUGCAGCUGAAGGAUUGGAUGCACAUGGGCCAUAUUUCCGCUGGGAUCACCUUUCAAUUCAACGUCUCCAGAGACCGGCAGAAGCAGUGGAGGCUCGAGUAGAAGAAGGAGG